GACGGGGGGUCCUAGCGUUGCUCGGAAUUAUUGGGCGUAAAGGGAGCGUAGGCGGCUAUGUAAGUCAGGAGUGAAAUCCCUGGGCUCAACCCAGGACGUGCUUUUGAUACUGCAUAGCUUGAGUGUGGGAGAGGAUAGUAGAAUUCCUGGUGUAGUGGUGAAAUACGUAGAUAUCAGGAGGAAUACCAGUGGCGAAGGCGGCUAUCUGGCCUAACACUGACGCUGAGGCUCGAAAGCGUGGGGAUCAAAC
rnacentral:rRNA from 1 species